UACAGAGGGUGCGAGCGUUGUCCGGAAUCACUGGGCGUAAAGGGCGCGUAGGCGGCCUGAUAAGUCGGGGGUGAAAUCCUGUGGCUCAACUGCAGGGCUGCCUCCUAGACUGUCGGGCUUGAGCACGGUAGAGGCAGAUGGAAUUCCCGGUGUAGCGGUGGAAUGCGUAGAGAUCGGGAAGAACAUCGGUGGCGAAAGCGCUCUACUGGACGGUGACUGACACUCAGGGACGAAAGCUAGGGGAGCGAAUGGG
rnacentral:rRNA from 1 species